CAGAGAACUACUAGCAACCGCUUAAAACUCAAAGGACUUGGCGGUGCUUUAAACCCCCUAGAGGAGCCUGUUCUAUAACCGAUAAACCCCGAUAAACCUCACCACCCCUUGCUAAUCCAGUCUAUAUACCGCCCUCUUCCCUGAACCCUUAAAAGGAAAAAAAGUAAGCAUAAUUAUCUCACAUAAAAAAGUUAGGUCAAGGUGUAACCUAUGGGAUGGGAAGAAAUGGGCUACAUUUUCUACUCAAGAACAGUCUACGAAAAUUUUUAUGAAACUAAAAACUAAAGGUGGAUUUAGUAGUAAACUAAGAAUAGAGAGCUUAGUUGAAUAGGGCAAUGAAGCACGCACACACCGCCCGCCACCCUCCUCCAGUCAA
rnacentral:rRNA from 1 species